GUCGAGCGACGGAUGAAGUGCUUGCACUUCUGACGUUAGCGGCGAACGGGUGAGUAACACGUAAGGAAUCUACCUAUAAGCGGGGGAUAACAUUCGGAAACGGGUGCUAAUACCGCAUAAUAUCUUCUUCCGCAUGGAAGAAGAUUGAAAGACGGCUCUGCUGUCACUUAUAGAUGACCUUGCGGUGCAUUAGUUAGUUGGUGGGGUAACGGCCUACCAAGACGAUGAUGCAUAGCCGACCUGAGAGGGUGAUCGGCCACAUUGGGACUGAGACACGGCCCAAACUCCUACGGGAGGCAGCAGUAGGGAAUCUUCCGCAAUGGGCGAAAGCCUGACGGAGCAAUGCCGCGUGAGUGAAGAAGGCCUUCGGGUCGUAAAACUCUGUUAUAAGAGAAGAACAAAUUGUAGAGUAACUGCUACAGUCUUGACGGUAUCUUAUCAGAAAGCCACGGCUAACUACGUGCCAGCAGCCGCGGUAAUACGUAGGUGGCAAGCGUUGUCCGGAUUUAUUGGGCGUAAAGGGAGCGCAGGUGGUUUCUUAAGUCUGAUGUGAAAGCCCACGGCUUAACCGUGGAGGGUCAUUGGAAACUGGGAAACUUGAGUACAGAAGAGGAAUGUGGAACUCCAUGUGUAGCGGUGGAAUGCGUAGAUAUAUGGAAGAACACCAGUGGCGAAGGCGACAUUCUGGUCUGUUACUGACACUGAGGCUCGAAAGCGUGGGGAGCAAACAGGAUUAGAUACCCUGGUAGUCCACGCCGUAAACGAUGAGUGCUAGGUGUUGGAGGGUUUCCGCCCUUCAGUGCCGCAGUUAACGCAUUAAGCACUCCGCCU
rnacentral:rRNA from 1 species